rnacentral:rRNA from 1 species
UACGAAGGGGGCUAGCGUUGUUCGGAUUUACUGGGCGUAAAGCGCACGUAGGCGGAUCGUUAAGUCGGGGGUGAAAUCCUGGAGCUCAACUCCAGAACUGCCUUUGAUACUGAGGAUCUUGAGUAUGGGAGAGGUGAGUGGAACUGCGAGUGUAGAGGUGAAAUUCGUAGAUAUUCGCAAGAACACCAGUGGCGAAGGCGGCUCACUGGCCCAUUACUGACGCUGAGGCACGAAAGCGUGGGGAGCAAACAGGG